CCUACGGGAGGCAGCAGUGAGGAAUAUUGGUCAAUGGGCUUACGCCUGAACCAGCCAAGUCGCGUGAGGGAAGACUGCCCUAUGGGUUGUAAACCUCUUUUGUCAGGGAGCAACGCCGGCUACGUGUAGCCGGACUGAGAGUACCUGAAGAAAAAGCAUCGGCUAACUCCGUGCCAGCAGCCGCGGUAAUACGGAGGAUGCGAGCGUUAUCCGGAUUUAUUGGGUUUAAAGGGUGCGUAGGCGGAAUGCCAAGUCAGCGGUAAAAUCGCGGGGCUCAACCUCGCUCCGCCGUUGAAACUGGCGUUCUUGAGUGGGCGAGAAGUAUGCGGAAUGCGUGGUGUAGCGGUGAAAUGCAUAGAUAUCACGCAGAACUCCGAUUGCGAAGGCAGCAUACCGGCGCCCAACCGACGCUGAAGCACGAAAGCGUGGGGAUCGAACAGGAUUAGAUACCCCGGUAGUC
rnacentral:rRNA from 1 species